rnacentral:rRNA from 1 species
GAUCAGCCAUGCCGCGUGCAGGAGACGGCCUUCUGGUUGGUAAACUCUUUUUAUACGGGAAAAAACCUCCCCAUUUAUGGGUGAGCUGACGGUACUGUACGAAUAAGCACCGGCUAACUCCCUGCCGGCCGCCGCGGUAAUACGGAGGGUGGGGGCGUUAUCCGGAUUCACUGGGUUUAAAGGGUGCGUAGGCAGAUUGUUAAGUCAGUGGUGAAAUCAACGGGCUCAACCUGUUAACUGCCUUUGAUACUGAUGGUCUUGAAUAUGAGGGAGGCAGGGGGAAUGUUUCAUGUUUGGAUGAAAUGCUUAGAUAUACUACGGAACACCGAUUGCGAAGGCAGCUUGCUACUUCAUGAUUGACGCUGAGGCACGAAAGCGUGGGGAGCGAACAGGAUUAUAUACCCUGGUGGUCCCCCCCCUAAACAAUGAUUACUCUACGUUGUCGAUAAACUGAUCAGUGUCUGACCGAAAGCGUUAAGUAAUCCACCUGGGGAGUACGCCCGCAAGGGUGAAACU